rnacentral:rRNA from 1 species
CCAAUAGCGUAUAUUAAAGUUGUUGCAGUUAAAAAGCUCGUAGUUGAAUUUCGGGGUUAGUAGGUUGGUCAUGCCUCUGGUAUGUACUGGUCUCACUGAUUCCUCCUUCCUGAUGAACCGUAAUGCCAUUAAUUUGGUGUUGCGGGGAAUUUGGACUGUUACUUUGAAAAAAUUAGAGUGUCUAAAGCAAGCUAACGCUUGAAUACAUUAGCAUGGAAUAAUGAAAUAGGACGUUCGAUCCUAUUUUGUUGGUUUCUAGGAUUGACGUAAUGAUUAAUAGGGAUAGUUGGGGGCAUUAGUAUUCAAUUGUCAGAGGUGAAAUUCUUGGAUUUAUUGAAGACUAACUACUGCGAAAGCAUUUGCCAAGGAUGUUUUCAUUAAUCAAGAACGAAAGUUAGGGGAUCGAAGACGAUCAGAUACCGUCGUAGUCUUAACCAUAAACUAUGCCGACUAGGGAUCGGAUGAUGUUAAUUUUUUAAUGACUCAUUCGGCGCCUUACG